GGGGCCGACCGGUAUUGACAGGUUGAGCGAUUGCGUAUGUAAGCAUGCAGGCUCAUGGGAUGAGAGCCUCAAAAGAUAGUUCCACAAUUCAGUUGGCGAAGAAAACUACGCCUUAGCUGCUUAAUUCUAACCACGUUAGAAGAAAAGGCGAAAGGGCCAGCUUAGAGCUGCCCGGCUAACAUUCCUCUUUUCCCUCGUCUUACGGGAGAAGGUUAGGAGUGACGUUAAGUAAGACUAGUUCAGGUAGCGUCACGAUGCCUUUGCGAAAUCAAGUGAAUAAGAAAUGAUUUGGAUGCCGGUGACCGGAUCAUUUCCGACAAUCAACAUUCGGCUAAGCAUGUAGAAGAUCCGUCAGUUACCUUCUCUGGACCAGAGUUCGAAUCUCUGCGGCUCCAC
rnacentral:tmRNA from 1 species